UGCGGAGGAAAAGAAACCAACAGGGAUUGCCUUAGUAACGGCGAGUGAAGCGGCAAAAGCUCAAAUUUGAAAUCUGGCACCUUCGGUGUCCGAGUUGUAAUUUGAAGAAGGUAACUUUGGAGUUGGCUCUUGUCUAUGUUCCUUGGAACAGGACGUCACAGAGGGUGAGAAUCCCGUGCGAUGAGAUGCCCAAUUCUAUGUAAAGUGCUUUCGAAGAGUCGAGUUGUUUGGGAAUGCAGCUCUAAGUGGGUGGUAAAUUCCAUCUAAAGCUAAAUAUUGGCGAGAGACCGAUAGCGAACAAGUACAGUGAUGGAAAGAUGAAAAGAACUUUGAAAAGAGAGUGAAAAAGUACGUGAAAUUGUUGAAAGGGAAGGGCUUGAGAUCAGACUUGGUAUUUUGCGAUCCUUUCCUUCUUGGUUGGGUUCCUCGCAGCUUACUGGGCCAGCAUCGGUUUGGAUGGUAGGAUAAUGACUAAGGAAUGUGGCUCUACUUCGGUGGAGUGUUAUAGCCUUGGUUGAUACUGCCUGUCUAGACCGAGGACUGCGUCUUUUGACUAGGAUGUUGGCAUAAUGAUCUUAAGCCACCCGUCUUG
rnacentral:rRNA from 1 species